CAAUAGCGUAUAUUAAAGUUGUUGCAGUUAAAAGCUCGUAGUUGGAUGUCUGGCUCUGUGUUGCGGUCCACCGCAAGGUGAGCACUGCGAUGUGGGGUCUUCCUCUUGAAUGCUGCGUGUGCUCUUAGUUGAGUGUGCGUGGGGUUUGGGACCUUACUUGAAAAAUUAGAGUGUUCAAAGCAGGCAAUCGCUUGAAUACAUUAGCAUGGAAUAAUAGAAUAGGACUUUGGUUCUAUUUUGUUGGUUUCUAGGACCGAAGUAAUGAUUAAUAGGGACAGUUGGGGGCAUUAGUAUUUAAUUGUCAGAGGUGAAAUUCUUGGAUUUAUGAAAGACUAACUACUGCGAAAGCAUUUGCCAAGGAUGUUUUCAUUAAUCAAGAACGAAAGUUAGGGGAUCGAAGACGAUUAGAUA
rnacentral:rRNA from 1 species